rnacentral:tRNA from 1 species
GGGCCAUUCGUAUAGUGGUAGUAUGCGUGCCUAGGACGCACGCGGCCGGGGUUCGAUUCCUCGAUGGCCCAC